UCAAACUUGGUCAUUUAGAGGAAGUAAAAGUCGUAACAAGGUCUCCGUUGGUGAACCAGCGGAGGGAUCAUUACCGAGUUUACAACUCUCAAACCCUAUGUGAACCUACCUAUCGUUGCUUCGGCAGGCGUGUCCCAGGCCCCGCGCCUGGAAUCAGGCCCCUGCCGGAGGUCACAAACUCUUGUAUUUUACAGUGGUAUCUUCUGAGUUACAAAACAAACAAGUUAAAACUUUCAACAACGGAUCUCUUGGCUCUGGCAUCGAUGAAGAACGCAGC
rnacentral:misc_RNA from 1 species